CCUACGGGCGGCAGCAGUGAGGAAUAUUGGUCAAUGGACGAGAGUCUGAACCAGCCAAGUAGCGUGAAGGAUGACUGCCCUAUGGGUUGUAAACUUCUUUUAUAAAGGAAUAAAACGAGGCACGUGUGCCUUUUUGCAUGUACUUUAUGAAUAAGGAUCGGCUAACUCCGUGCCAGCAGCCGCGGUAAUACGGAGGUUCCGAGCGUUAUCCGGAUGUAUUGGGUUUAAAGGGAGCGUAGAUGGGUUGUUAAGUCAGUUGUGAAAGUUUGCGGCUCAACCGUAAGAUUGCAAUUGAUACUGGCAGUCUUGAGUACAGUUGAGGUAGGCGGAAUUCGUGGUGUAGCGGUGAAAUGCUUAGAUAUCACGAAGAACCCCGAUUGCGAAGGCAGCUUACUAAACUGUGACUGACAUUGAUGCUCGAAAGUGUGGGUAUCAAACAGGAUUAGAUACCCGAGUAGUC
rnacentral:rRNA from 1 species